rnacentral:rRNA from 2 species
CAGCCGCCGCGGUAAAACCAGCACCUCAAGUGGUCAGGAUGAUUAUUGGGCCUAAAGCAUCCGUAGCCGGCUCUGUAAGUUUUCGGUUAAAUCUGUACGCUCAACGUACAGGCUGCCGGGAAUAUUGCAAAGCUAGGGAGUGGGAGAAGUAGACGGUACUCGGUAGGAAGUGGUAAAAUGCUUUGAUCUAUCGAUGACCACCUGUGGCGAAGGCGGUCUACUAGAACACGUCCGACGGUGAGGGAUGAAAGCUGGGGGAGCAAACCGGAUUAGAUACCCGGGUAGUCCCAGCUGUAAACUAUGCAAACUCAGUGAUGCAUUGGCUUGUGGCCAAUGCAGUGCUGCAGGGAAGCCGUUAAGUUUGCCUCCUGGGAAGUACGUACGCAAGUAUGAAACUUAAAGGAAUUGGCGGGGGAGCAC